rnacentral:rRNA from 1 species
UACGAAGGGGGCUAGCGUUGUUCGGAAUUACUGGGCGUAAAGGGCGCGUAGGCGGCCUGCUAAGUCGGAUGUGAAAUCCCCCGGCUCAACCGGGGAACUGCAUCCGAUACUGGCGGGCUCGAAUCCGGGAGAGGGAUGUGGAAUUCCAGGUGUAGCGGUGAAAUGCGUAGAUAUCUGGAGGAACACCGGUGGCGAAGGCGGCAUCCUGGACCGGCAUUGACGCUGAGGCGCGAAAGCCAGGGGAGCAAACGGG